UAGGGAAUCUUCGGCAAUGGACGAAAGUCUGACCGAGCAACGCCGCGUGAGUGAAGAAGGUUUUCGGAUCGUAAAACUCUGUUGGUAGAGAAGAACGUUGGUGAGAGUGGAAAGCUCAUCAAGUGACGGUAACUACCCAGAAAGGGACGGCUAACUACGUCCCAG
rnacentral:rRNA from 1 species